UCCGUAGGUGAACCUGCGGAGGGAUCAUUACCGAGUUUACAACUCCCAAACCCCUGUGAACAUACCUUAAUGUUGCCUCGGCGGAUCAGCCCGCGCCCCGUAAAACGGGACGGCCCGCCAGAGGACCCAAACUCUAAUGUUUCUUAUUGUAACUUCUGAGUAAAACAAACAAAUAAAUCAAAACUUUCAACAACGGAUCUCUUGGUUCUGGCAUCGAUGAAGAACGCAGCAAAAUGCGAUAAGUAAUGUGAAUUGCAGAAUUCAGUGAAUCAUCGAAUCUUUGAACGCACAUUGCGCCCGCUGGUAUUCCGGCGGGCAUGCCUGUUCGAGCGUCAUUUCAACCCUCAAGCCCCCGGGUUUGGUGUUGGGGAUCGGCUCUGCCUUCUGGCGGUGCCGCCCCCGAAAUACAUUGGCGGUCUCGCUGCAGCCUCCAUUGCGUAGUAGCUAACACCUCGCUACUGGAACGCGGCGCGGCCAUGCCGUAAAACCCCAACUUCUGAAUGUUGACCUCGGAUCAGGUA
rnacentral:rRNA from 1 species